CCAAGGCCAAGAAACCGGCCAAAGAGAAAGUCAAGAAAUCGCCAGCCAAAAAGAAAGCUACUUUGACGAAGAAAAAGACCCCAGUCAAAGUGGCAAAGCCAAAGACGCCGAAAAGACCUCAGAGUGCAAAGAAAAUCAAAACAUCAAAGUGAACAGCGAUCACAUAAAUGUACAUACCUGAGUGCGCGUAACGUGUGGUUCUAUAAACAUGCAUGUGUGUAGCUGGACGGUGAAGGUGCUCUAAUUUAUUAAUAGUGCGGAAGAUUGACUGCGAUAUGGUUUUAUUUUAUUUGUUUUUAAUAUACUGAUUGCAAAUGGCUGCAUUAUAAACUUAGUAUUUGAAUAUUUUUAAAUAAACCUGUAAUUUUU
rnacentral:misc_RNA from 1 species